GAUGAACGCUGGCGGCGUGCCUAAUACAUGCAAGUCGAGCGAACAGACGAGGAGCUUGCUCCUCUGACGUUAGCGGCGGACGGGUGAGUAACACGUGGAUAACCUACCUAUAAGACUGGGAUAACUUCGGGAAACCGGAGCUAAUACCGGAUAAUAUAUUGAACCGCAUGGUUCAAUAGUGAAAGACGGUUUUGCUGUCACUUAUAGAUGGAUCCGCGCCGCAUUAGCUAGUUGGUAAGGUACCGGCUUACCAAGGCAACGAUGCGUAGCCGACCUGAGAGGGUGAUCGGCCACACUGGAACUGAGACACGGUCCAGACUCCUACGGGAGGCAGCAGUAGGGAAUCUUCCGCAAUGGGCGAAAGCCUGACGGAGCGACGCCGCGUGAGUGAUGAAGGUCUUCGGAUCGUAAAACUCUGUUAUUAGGGAAGAACAAAUGUGUAAGUAACUAUGCACGUCUUGACGGUACCUAAUCAGAAAGCCACGGCUAACUACGUG
rnacentral:rRNA from 1 species